UACGUAGGGGGCUAGCGUUGUCCGGAAUCAUUGGGCGUAAAGCGCGUGUAGGCGGCCCGGUAAGUCCGCUGUGAAAGUCGGGGGCUCAACCCUCGGAAGCCGGUGGAUACUGUCGGGCUCGAGUACGGAAGAGGCGAGUGGAAUUCCUGGUGUAGCGGUGAAAUGCGCAGAUAUCAGGAGGAACACCAAUUGCGAAGGCAGCUCGCUGGGACGUAACUGACGCUGAGACGCGAAAGCGUGGGGAGCAAACAGG
rnacentral:rRNA from 1 species